rnacentral:misc_RNA from 1 species
GUGGGAGGGGGCUUGCUCCCGAUAGCGAAGUGUCAGUCACUCUAUUUGUUGACUGACACACUGCUAUCGGGAGCAAGCCCCCUCCCAC